rnacentral:pre_miRNA from 1 species
UUGAAUCCUUCACACGGUAAUUUACAUCUGAUAAUCACCGGGUGAUCGAUUUGCUU